GCCCGCCUAGCUCAAUCGGAUAGAGCGUCAGACUCUUACCUAGGCAGUGGCAUCUGAAGGCUGCGAGUUCGACCCUCGCGGUGGGCU
rnacentral:tRNA from 1 species